UUCAUUGGUAUCAAUCCGGAGAGAGAUCCAAGGCCACAAGAGGAAAGGGUGUGGUGUCUCCACGAAGGCAGGUAUGAUGGUCCAGAAGAAGUCUGUCUCCACACUACUGAUGGACUUUCAAUGGGACUGCAUAUACUGUAGUGGCAGGUGCUAGAAUAAAACCAGGAAGAAGAACGAGGAUGGUGACGCACAUCUCUCCCUCUCACAAGCUUCACCAUGCUAUUCUUGAAAGUUCCACAGACAGAAGAUCAUACAUUGCAGUACACCUACGGUAUAUACUGCAGAUAUCUGCUUUUUAAUAGAGCAUAUUUGUACCCCACAUGACUAAGUGGGGGCGGGGGGGCAGCUUAAGUACAGUUUCUUCCCAAAUGUUGCAACUGUAUUUUUCUGUCUAUUUUCAUAAUGGUCAUUUUCAAAAUCUUGGAAAAGUGUGUUUUACAAAUGUUAUUGAUACAUAGGCUCAAGUGUUCUUAGUGAUGCAGACAGCAGGGAAUCAAAUGGUGUAAAUUUAGAUAUUAUAGAUCAUUUAAACUGCCUAUUGAGAGCACAUAAGCAUUACUUACAUCAUUUUGAGGUUUGCAUUAGUCUGCAUUACAGUAGUCUGUAAGUGUGUAUUAGUCACCUCAGGGUUUGGCCUAAUUGUAUGGAAACAGUUACAGUAACUUUAGUUGUCUUUUCAUGUUUGGUAAAUAUUCACGUUGACACUGCCUGUUUAAAUAAACAUUUGUGUGAUUUAUGUCUUUUGUAUAUUGUUUAUUGAUUAUUCAGCAUAGGUUUAAGUAUUUCUCUGGAGCCCACAUAUCAACUUUAAUUUUGAUUGUAGUAAAAAUUUAGAUUUUAGACAUUCUAUCUGAGUCCAGAUAGUGCAGGGCAGUGAAAAAGUGUACAACAAUGUGGAAAAAAGUGUACAAAAAUGUGGGAAAAAGUGCAAAAAUUGCAAGUGCAAAGUAUUUACCUGCCAUUAGUGACGUCACGGAAGCACACCAUUGAGGAUAAGGUGUGUCGUGACGUUUGACUGUGGAUACCGCGAACAAA